ACGCACGCUGGCGGCGUGCUUCACACAUGCAAGUUGAACGGAAAGGCCCUGCUUUUGUGGGGUGCUCGAGUGGCGAACGGGUGAGUAACACGUGAGUAACCUGCCCUUGACUUUGGGAUAACUUCAGGAAACUGGGGCUAAUACCGGAUAGGAGCUCCUGCUGCAUGGUGGGGGUUGGAAAGUUUCGGCGGUUGGGGAUGGACUCGCGGCUUAUCAGCUUGUUGGUGGGGUAGUGGCUUACCAAGGCUUUGACGGGUAGCCGGCCUGAGAGGGUGACCGGCCACAUUGGGACUGAGAUACGGCCCAGACUCCUACGGGAGGCAGCAGUGGGGAAUAUUGCACAAUGGGCGGAAGCCUGAUGCAGCAACGCCGCGUGCGGGAUGACGGCCUUCGGGUUGUAAACCGCUUUCGCCUGUGACGAAGCGUGAGUGACGGUAAUGGGUAAAGAAACACCGGCUAACUACGU
rnacentral:rRNA from 1 species